UACGUAGGUGGCAAGCGUUAUCCGGAUUUACUGGGUGUAAAGGGAGCGUAGACGGUUGUAUAAGUCUGGAGUGAAAGCCCGGGGCCCAACCCCGGGACUGCUUUGGAAACUGUGUAACUUGAGUACAGGAGGGGCAGGCGGAAUUCCUGGUGUAGCGGUGAAAUGCGUAGAUAUCAGGAGGAACACCGGCGGCGAAGGCGGCCACCUGGACGACAACUGACGCUGAGGUGCGAAAGCGUGGGUAGCAAACAGG
rnacentral:rRNA from 1 species